GUAGAUCCAAGCUCAAUGAAAUGAGAAACCUCAUUGGAGUUCAAGACUUGAAGGGAGAAGAGUUCAAGCUUAAGGGGGAGAAUGUAGGAUAAGCUUGAGAAGAGUAACUUGAGGAGUAAGUUACUAAAGAAGAGAAAAGGAAAUUAAGCUUUAGUGUUCUAGGACUUAUCUAGAAUAAUGUAUUAGGAGAUAUCUAAAUACAAAUCCUAGUUGUGUUAGUGAUAUAGGUCAAAUUGCCUUAAGAUCACUCUGUCAAAUAAGAGAUCGAUUGUAGCACUUAAGGGUCGAAUUUCACAAAGCUCUCGGAUCACACAAUAGACCAAGGUUUUGAAUUAAGCUAAGUAAGAUAGUAAUGAAAAUAAAAAGAAACAAAAGGAAGAAAUAGCAGAUUGUGAGGUUGUAAGACAAGAAAGUAAAAACGUCAAGCUUAGGGUAUUCUCAGGAUACUAUUGGUUAGUAGAUCUAAUACUAGCUAGGUUAUUAUCGAACCAUUCUUAAACUCAAACUCUAAUUAUGGAAUAACCGGUGGCGUUCCGUGAAACUCCCUAUGCCUAUAACUAAGAAUAACCGGAGAAACCGAGAGAUCUUUAACCUAAAAAUGUAUUUUAAACGAGUUGAAUUGCUCACCUUAGUAGAUAGGCCGAUUCUUAUUACACAUCUAUAAACCAGCCUCAUCAAAUAAUAGAUUCAACUACAGAUACCUAUGGUGGGCAUAUCUAUUGUCUGGAUUCAAGUUCUAGGUGAUCAAUCUAUAUCU
rnacentral:sRNA from 1 species